UACGUAGGGUGCGAGCGUUGUCCGGAAUUACUGGGCGUAAAGAGCUCGUAGGUGGUUUGUCGCGUUGUUCGUGAAAAACUCACAGCUCAACUGUGGGCGUGCGGGCGAUACGGGCAGACUGGAGUACUGCAGGGGAGACUGGAAUUCCUGGUGUAGCGGUGGAAUGCGCAGAUAUCAGGAGGAACACCGGUGGCGAAGGCGGAUCUCUGGGCCGAUACUGACGCUGAGGAGCGAAAGCGUGGGGAGCGAACAGG
rnacentral:rRNA from 1 species